GCUAGCGGCAGGCUUAAUACAUGCAAGUCGUGGGGCAGCAUGAGUAGCAAUACUUGAUGGCGACCGGCAAACGGGUGCGGAACACGUACACAACCUUCCUACAAGUGGGGAAUAGCCCAGAGAAAUUGGGAUUAAUCCCCCGUAACAUAUAGAGAUGGCAUCAUUUUUAUAUUAUAGCUACCGCGCUUGUUGAUGGGUGUGCGGCUGAUUAGGUAGUUGGCGGGGUAACGGCC
rnacentral:rRNA from 1 species